CACACUCAAAUCCCCGUCGAUUAUGAGUUCCGAGGCUCACAAUUUUAAGCUCCGGCCACUAGGUUUCCGCAAGCAGUGAUCAGGGCGAUCAUCGAGGCAGAAGGAAGAUUUAUACUUUCAUUGGCAUUUGAGAGAACUAUGUCCCUUCAAGGAUCAAAACCAACAAACAAAGAAGACUUUCGAAAAUCCAAAAUCGAUUUCAGCUGCCAUACAGUCAUCAUGAUAUGAUUGAUAUCCUGAAACGGCUUUUGCAACUAAUCAGGCGAGAAAACUUGGGACUUGAGUGCUAAUUGAUUGGAGAAAGGGGGGCUGCCAGCAAAAUCCCGUGAUCCAUGAUCAAGCUUGAGAUCAUGUUCCCUUGCCAAAGAUUUCAUCAUUCUCUACCAUCUCUUAUGUAUUCGAACAAGAGAAUCAUGGCCAAAGCCCAGUUGGAGAGGCAUUCAUUACUACUGGAUGGGAUUUUGAACGAAAGCAGAGAGCGUUGUGCACCUCCCUGCUUUCCCCGUUAGCGGUACUAAAGUGAAACGCAAGCAUCAACGUGAAACAGACGGGAUGGCGGUUUGACCUCCAUUUUUUACUGAGGUUCACAUGCAAGCAAGUCUCUAAUUUUCUGCCAUCCACAUGUAAUAGCAGUUCGCCGUUAAAACCCUUGUCAAUACCCGUCCAUGGUGCGAGUUCAUCAAUAGUGGUAUACUACAAAUUUCCGUACCGCGGUCAAGCGCACUUUUGCCCCUUGUUUUGCUCCUUUCAGGCUUCGAUAGCAUUCAUGGGUGAGAAGGUAAAAGGGACUUGGAGAUAUGUUUUUCCCCCACAGACGAAGGUACUUUGCUGUCCAGUUUUUGUUAGAUGCCUAGAUCCUCAUCCGUUGAUAUCUAGAUAUAGAAUCUCCGUCAUAACGGUAAUCCAAUAGCAACCUGACAGAGUCCUCCAAAAGAAAGAUCCAAAUAAGAAAAAUCACAUGAAAGGGU
rnacentral:sRNA from 1 species